rnacentral:rRNA from 1 species
AUUUCCGAAUGGGGAAACCCAGCAUGAGUUAUGUCAUGUUAUCGAUAUGUGAAUACAUAGCAUAUCAGAAGGCACACCCGGAGAACUGAAACAUCUUAGUACCCGGAGGAAGAGAAAGAAAAUUCGAUUCCCUUAGUAGCGGCGAGCGAAACGGGAAGAGCCCAAACCAAAAAGCUUGCUUGUUGGGGUUGUAGGACACUCUAUACGGAGUUACAAAGGACGACAUUAGACGAAUCAUCUGGAAAGAUGAAUCAAAGAAGGUAAUAAUCCUGUAGUCGAAAAUGUUGUCUCUCUUGAGUGGAUCCUGAGUACGACGGAGCACGUGAAAUUCCGUCGGAAUC